AUGCCCGAUGACCCAGAUGAUGAUAGUUAUCGUCCAGUCUCCAAAGAUGAGGAGAGCCUCGACAGCAAGGAUUUCAUCAUGCCUAAGGCACCCCUAGAGCAGGAGCGCUUCAAGCGCCAGCUAAGAGCUACUGCCAGAAGCCUAAAGAAAAAGCAGCAGCAGCUCCAAGCCGAUCAAGACCUACUCAUCGACAGAUGGACCGAUGUCCUGGCAGCCGAAGAAUACGGCCUCAAGUGCCCAGCCAAGAGUUACCCAAAGCGCAGACUGCUACCUCAGUUUGAUGAGGAGGCACCAGAUCCCAUACCUCCCUCGCACAACGAGGACCGACCACCACGUGGCCGGGAUAGUGCGGCGGACCACCACCCCGCGGUCGGGAUAAAAUGA
rnacentral:rRNA from 1 species